UGGGGAAUAUUGCACAAUGGAGGGAACUCUGAUGCAGCGACGCCGCGUGAAGGAAGAAGGUUUUCGGAUUGUAAACUUCUAUCAGCAGGGACGAAAAUGACGGUACCUGACUAAGAAGCCCCGGCUAACUACGUGCCAGCAGCCGCGGUAAUACGUAGGGGGCAAGCGUUAUCCGGAAUUACUGGGUGUAAAGGGUGCGUAGGCGGUAAUGUAAGUCAGGUGUGAAAGCCCGAGGCUCAACUUCGGGAUUGCACUUGAAACUACAUAACUAGAGUACAGGAGAGGUGAGUGGAAUUCCUAGUGUAGCGGUGAAAUGCGUAGAUAUUAGGAGGAACACCAGUGGCGAAGGCGACUCACUGGACUGUAACUGACGCUGAGGCACGAAAGCGUGGGGAGCGAACAGG
rnacentral:rRNA from 2 species